CCUACGGGUGGCAGCAGUGAGGAAUAUUGGUCAAUGGGAGAAAUCCUGAACCAGCCAUGCCGCGUGCAGGACGACGGCCCUACGCGUUGUAAACUCCUUUUGUACGGGAGUAAAUUGCCUUACGUGUAGGAUUUUGAACGUACGAUACGAUUCAGGAUCGGCUAACUCGGUGCCAGCAGCCGCGGUAAUACGGAGGAUCCGAGCGUUAUCCGGAUUCAUUGGGUUUAAAGGGGGCGUAGGUGGAUUUAUAAGUAAGGGGGGAAAGACCGGGGCCCAACCUCGGGGCUGCUGUUAAAACUGGGGGGCUAGAGUGCAGAAGGGGCAGGCGGAAUUCGUGGUGUAGCGGUGAAAUGCAUAGAUAUCACGAGGAACACCGAUGGCGAAGGCAGCUUGCUGGACUGCAACUGACACUGAGGCUCGAAAGCGUGGGGAUCGAACAGGAUUAGAUACCCGAGUAGUC
rnacentral:rRNA from 1 species